GCCUACUAUGCAUGCAUGCACAGGCAUGGGAACUCUUCAAAUAUACUUUUUCUUUCCAGAGCUGAAACUGUUGCUUGUCUUUCUGCAUUAAUCAACAAACAAGAGGACUACGAAGGGCAUGUGAGGCAUAUAAGAAAUCUCCCACAGCGAACCAGGAGUGGGGCCUUACAAGGAGACAAGAGGAAGCCAGACGUGCUGAAUGCUGAUUUUGUGGAAGUCGCACAAGAGAGGCGAGCAACAAUUUCCAACUAA
rnacentral:lncRNA from 1 species